CAUACUAUCCAUUUUUCACUCAAUCUACCACAAAAGAAACAGUUCUAGAAUUGUAAAACAAUAUAUUUUGAAUAAAAGCGUUUACAAUUUGUGAAAUUAUUGGAUUAUGGUAGUCAACGGUAUAUCAACCCUACACUGAAAGAAACUUUGGAGUAAUGACAACUACCGCUUGGUUCUUAAAAAUACUAUUCGUGAAAAUAUUUGAGAUAAAUAGAUUUGCGCUUGUAGUUACUACAAUGCGGUUGAAAUCGCUAUGCUGUUAAGGGGUUGAUUUAACUACUUUUAAAUAGUUAAGAAAACUAUAAUUUUGCAUUGAAGACAAACACAUGUUUGCUCGUUUUUACCAUGGGCAUGGUAAUAGUAACAACAAUCCUCGAUACUAAUGACAUUGCAAACUACGUCAUUUUUCCAUCGACUUGUGUGUUUAUAGAUGAAUGAGAAUGCUCGGAAAGUGAUUGAUUUCUUUGUUCAUUCAUUUAUAUAAUUAUUCAAAACUAAUAAUAUUUAUUUUGCACAGAGCUAGUUUGAUCAACACAGUGAUGGUCACGUCCUGCUGCAUUUUUUAUGUUACAAAAUUGAGCGACGAUCUACUCUGUUUUUACUUCUAUCGGACAUUGUACAAACGAAACCCCGUAGCUCAAAAUUUCUCCAAAUGGCAAGGAGCUUGUGAACCAAGAAAUAAUAGAUAAAACACAAGCAUUAAGUGCAGCUUGGCAACUUCGCUAGGAGAAGAACAUUAAAUUCUUACCUUUUAUAAUAUAAUAAUGCAACUAGUUUUGCAAAAACCUAUUGAUUAAUAAACAAUGCUUUAGCCGUAAGAA
rnacentral:lncRNA from 1 species